UAUUUAAUUUUCCCAAGAGUUUUCCCAGCACCGGUAUAAACCGGGGUAAAACAUGGGAAAACUCUUGGGAAAAUUAAAUAAUG